UACGUAGGGGGCAAGCGUUGUCCGGAUUUAUUGGGCGUAAAGAGCGUGUAGGCGGCCAGAUAGGUCUGUUGUGAAAACUCGAGGCUCAACCUCGAGACGCCGAUGGAAACCAUCUGGCUAGAGUCCGGAAGAGGAGAGUGGAAUUCCUGGUGUAGCGGUGAAAUGCGCAGAUAUCAGGAAGAACACCCGUGGCGAAGGCGGCUCUCUGGGACGGUACUGACGCUGAGACGCGAAAGCGUGGGGAGCAAACAGG
rnacentral:rRNA from 1 species